CCGGCGAUUUCCGAAUGGGGAAACCCAGUGUGUUUCGACACACUAUCAUUAACUGAAUCCAUAGGUUAAUGAGGCGAACCGGGGGAACUGAAACAUCUAAGUACCCCGAGGAAAAGAAAUCAACCGAGAUUCCCCCAGUAGCGGCGAGCGAACGGGGAGGAGCCCAGAGCCUGAAUCAGUGUGUGUGUUAGUGGAAGCGUCUGGAAAGGCGCGCGAUACAGGGUGACAGCCCCGUACACAAAAAUGCACAUACUGUGAGCUCGAUGAGUAGGGCGGGACACGUGGUAUCCUGUCUGAAUAUGGGGGGACCAUCCUCCAAGGCUAAAUACUCCUGACUGACCGAUAGUGAACCAGUACCGUGAGGGAAAGGCGAAAAGAACCCCGGCGAGGGGAGUGAAAAAGAACCUGAAACCGUGUACGUACAAGCAGUGGGAGCCUCUUUUAUGGGGUGACUGCGUACCUUUUGUAUAAUGGGUCAGCGACUUAUAUUCUGUAGCAAGGUUAACCGAAUAGGGGAGCCGAAGGGAAACCGAGUCUUAACUGGGCGUUAAGUUGCAGGGUAUAGACCCGAAACCCGGUGAUCUAGCCAUGGGCAGGUUGAAGGUUGGGUAACACUAACUGGAGGACCGAACCGACUAAUGUUGAAAAAUUAGCGGAUGACUUGUGGCUGGGGGUGAAAGGCCAAUCAAACCGGGAGAUAGCUGGUUCUCCCCGAAAGCUAUUUAGGUAGCGCCUCGUGAAUUCAUCUCCGGGGGUAGAGCACUGUUUCGGCAAGGGGGUCAUCCCGACUUACCAACCCGAUGCAAACUGCGAAUACCGGAGAAUGUUAUCACGGGAGACACACGGCGGGUGCUAACGUCCGUCGUGAAGAGGGAAACAACCCAGACCGCCAGCUAAGGUCCCAAAGUCAUGGUUAAGUGGGAAACGAUGUGGGAAGGCCCAGACAGCCAGGAUGUUGGCUUAGAAGCAGCCAUCAUUUAAAGAAAGCGUAAUAGCUCACUGGUCGAGUCGGCCUGCGCGGAAGAUGUAACGGGGCUAAACCAUGCACCGAAGCUGCGGCAGCGACGCUUAUGCGUUGUUGGGUAGGGGAGCGUUCUGUAAGCCUGCGAAGGUGUGCUGUGAGGCAUGCUGGAGGUAUCAGAAGUGCGAAUGCUGACAUAAGUAACGAUAAAGCGGGUGAAAAGCCCGCUCGCCGGAAGACCAAGGGUUCCUGUCCAACGUUAAUCGGGGCAGGGUGAGUCGACCCCUAAGGCGAGGCCGAAAGGCGUAGUCGAUGGGAAACAGGUUAAUAUUCCUGUACUUGGUGUUACUGCGAAGGGGGGACGGAGAAGGCUAUGUUGGCCGGGCGACGGUUGUCCCGGUUUAAGCGUGUAGGCUGGUUUUCCAGGCAAAUCCGGAAAAUCAAGGCUGAGGCGUGAUGACGAGGCACUACGGUGCUGAAGCAACAAAUGCCCUGCUUCCAGGAAAAGCCUCUAAGCAUCAGGUAACAUCAAAUCGUACCCCAAACCGACACAGGUGGUCAGGUAGAGAAUACCAAGGCGCUUGAGAGAACUCGGGUGAAGGAACUAGGCAAAAUGGUGCCGUAACUUCGGGAGAAGGCACGCUGAUAUGUAGGUGAAGCGACUUGCUCGUGGAGCUGAAAUCAGUCGAAGAUACCAGCUGGCUGCAACUGUUUAUUAAAAACACAGCACUGUGCAAACACGAAAGUGGACGUAUACGGUGUGACGCCUGCCCGGUGCCGGAAGGUUAAUUGAUGGGGUUAGCGGUAACGCGAAGCUCUUGAUCGAAGCCCCGGUAAACGGCGGCCGUAACUAUAACGGUCCUAAGGUAGCGAAAUUCCUUGUCGGGUAAGUUCCGACCUGCACGAAUGGCGUAAUGAUGGCCAGGCUGUCUCCACCCGAGACUCAGUGAAAUUGAACUCGCUGUGAAGAUGCAGUGUACCCGCGGCAAGACGGAAAGACCCCGUGAACCUUUACUAUAGCUUGACACUGAACAUUGAGCCUUGAUGUGUAGGAUAGGUGGGAGGCUUUGAAGUGUGGACGCCAGUCUGCAUGGAGCCGGCCUUGAAAUACCACCCUUUAAUGUUUGAUGUUCUAACGUUGGCCCCUGAUCGGGGUUGCGGACAGUGUCUGGUGGGUAGUUUGACUGGGGCGGUCUCCUCCUAAAGAGUAACGGAGGAGCACGAAGGUUGGCUAAUCCUGGUCGGACAUCAGGAGGUUAGUGCAAUGGCAUAAGCCAGCUUGACUGCGAGCGUGACGGCGCGAGCAGGUGCGAAAGCAGGUCAUAGUGAUCCGGUGGUUCUGAAUGGAAGGGCCAUCGCUCAACGGAUAAAAGGUACUCCGGGGAUAACAGGCUGAUACCGCCCAAGAGUUCAUAUCGACGGCGGUGUUUGGCACCUCGAUGUCGGCUCAUCACAUCCUGGGGCUGAAGUAGGUCCCAAGGGUAUGGCUGUUCGCCAUUUAAAGUGGUACGCGAGCUGGGUUUAGAACGUCGUGAGACAGUUCGGUCCCUAUCUGCCGUGGGCGCUGGAGAACUGAGGGGGGCUGCUCCUAGUACGAGAGGACCGGAGUGGACGCAUCACUGGUGUUCGGGUUGUCAUGCCAAUGGCACUGCCCGGUAGCUAAAUGCGGAAGAGAUAAGUGCUGAAAGCAUCUAAGCACGAAACUUGCCCCGAGAUGAGUUCUCCCUGAGACUUUAAGUCUCCUGAAGGAACGUUGAAGACGACGACGUUGAUAGGCCGGGUGUGUAAGCGCAGCGAUGCGUUGAGCUAACCGGUACUAAUGAACCGUGAGG
rnacentral:rRNA from 1 species